rnacentral:rRNA from 1 species
UACGUAGGGUGCGAGCGUUGUCCGGAAUUAUUGGGCGUAAAGAGCUCGUAGGCGGUCUGUCGCGUCGAAUGUGAAAACCCGGGGCUCAACUCCGGGCUUGCAUUCGAUACGGGCAGACUAGAGUUCGGUAGGGGAGACUGGAAUUCCUGGUGUAGCGGUGAAAUGCGCAGAUAUCAGGAGGAACACCGGUGGCGAAGGCGGGUCUCUGGGCCGUAACUGACGCUGAGGAGCGAAAGCAUGGGGAGCGAACAGG